GCUAUUUAUUAUCAUUUGAUAUAUCUUGUUUAUCUCCAUAUAUCGCGUAAGGAUUGUUCGUUUACAAUCAUUUCUCUGUCUUUUUUUCUCUCUCUCUCUCUUUUUUUUUUUUCAUCAAUAUUAUUAUUCUCUGUUGCAGUUUCUAAUUGGUUAUCGUGUAACACACGAGAAGAAACUCGAUCGGUGAUCGCUUUAUAAAUCAAGAAGAGUUACUGGACACCCUCCCGGUGUGCCAAGAUUUUAAUCGACAAGUGUGCAACCGUCCCGCCUGCAAGUUUAUCCAUCUCAGUGACGGAAACGUGGAGGUGAUCGAGAAUCGCGUGACCGUGUGCAGGGACGCAGUGAAGGGCGCGUGCAUGCGACCCCAGUGUAAAUAUUAUCACAUACCGGUCGCGUUGCCGCCAGCGCCCUUGAUGGCGAUCACAUCGCCUGCGACGCCCUAGUUACUCCUUCUCGUUUAGCGGAUGUGUGUAUCACGACGAGGCGAGGAGCUAGAACAACCGGCAGACAGAUGCAGAUGAUGGUGCGGACGAGGGAGAGAAAAAAGUCUUGAGAGAAGAUUUGAAGAUACUCGACGAGGGAUCGAUAGAGAAGAAGAAAUGGAAAACGACCGACGAAACGAGGA